AGAAAACAGGUACAGCCUGAGCAGUGCAAAUUCUAGCUUCCCACAUGUGGCCCUACCAAUGUGUCUUAGUCCUGAACUGGAGGGCCUAUCUCUGCU
rnacentral:sRNA from 1 species